rnacentral:rRNA from 1 species
AACGAACGCUGGCGGCAUGCCUAACACAUGCAAGUCGAACGAGACCUUCGGGUCUAGUGGCGCACGGGUGCGUAACGCGUGGGAACCUGCCCUUAGGUUCGGAAUAACUCCCCGAAAGGGGUGCUAAUACCGGAUAAUGUCUUCGGACCAAAGAUUUAUCGCCUUUGGAUGGGCCCGCGUUGGAUUAGCUAGUUGGUAGGGUAAAAGCCUACCAAGGCGACGAUCCAUAGCUGGUCUGAGAGGAGGAUCAGCCACACUGGGACUGAGACACGGCCCAGACUCCUACGGGAGGCAGCAGUGGGGAAUAUUGGACAAGGGGCGAAAGCCUGAUCCAGCAAUGCCGCGUGAGUGAUGAAGGCCUUAGGGUUGUAAAGCUCUUUUAACCGGGAUGAUAAUGACAGUACCGGGAGAAUAAGCUCCGGCUAACUCCGUG